AUAUCAAUAAGCGGAGGAAAAGAAACCAACAGGGAUUGCCCUAGUAACGGCGAGUGAAGCGGCAACAGCUCAAAUUUGAAAUCUGGCUUCCUUGGAAGUCCGAGUUGUAAUUUGCAGAGGGCGCUUUGGCGUCGGUAGCGGUCUAAGUUCCUUGGAACAGGACGUCACAGAGGGUGAGAAUCCCGUACGUGGUCGACUGCCUUCGCCGUGUAAAGCCCCUUCGACGAGUCGAGUUGUUUGGGAAUGCAGCUCUAAAUGGGAGGUAAAUUUCUUCUAAAGCUAAAUACUGGCCAGAGACCGAUAGCGCACAAGUAGAGUGAUCGAAAGAUGAAAAGCACUUUGGAAAGAGAGUCAAACAGCACGUGAAAUUGUUGAAAGGGAAGCGCUUGCCGCCAGACGUGCCCGUGGUGGUUCUCCUCCGCGGGCAGGCCAGCAUCAGUUUGGGCGAUCGGAUAAUGGCCUCUGUCAUGUAUCUCCCUUCGGGGUGACCUUAUAGGGGAGGCGUAAUGCGACCAGCCCGGACUGAGGUCCGCGCAUCUGCUAGGAUGCUGGCGUAAUGGCUGUAAGCGGCCCGUCUUGAAACACGGACCAAGGAGUCUAACAUCUAUGCGAGUGUUUGGGUGUCAAGCCCGAGCGCGUAAUGAAAGUGAACGGAGGUGGGAACCCUUUGGGUGCACCAUCGACCGAUCCUGAAGUCUUCGGAUGGAUUUGAGUAAGAGCAUGGCUGUUGGGACCCGAAAGAUGGUGAACUAUGCUUGAAUAGGGUGAAGCCAGAGGAAACUCUGGUGGAGGCUCGCAGCGGUUCUGACGUGCAAAUCGAUCGUCAAAUUUGGGCAUAGGGGCGAAAGACUAAUCGAACUAUCUAGUAGCUGGUUCCUGCCGA
rnacentral:rRNA from 1 species